rnacentral:rRNA from 1 species
GAUGAACGCUGGCGGCGUGCCUAAUACAUGCAAGUCGAGCGAACGGACGAGAAGCUUGCUACUCUGACGUUAGCGGCGGACGGGUGAGUAACACGUGGAUAACCUACCUAUAAGACUGGGAUAACUUCGGGAAACCGGAGCUAAUACCGGAUAAUAUUUUGAACCGCAUGGUUCAAUAGUGAAAGACGGUCUUGCUGUCACUUAUAGAUGGAUCCGCGCUGCAUUAGCUAGUUGGUAAGGUAACGGCUUACCAAGGCAACGAUGCAUAGCCGACCUGAGAGGGUGAUCGGCCACACUGGAACUGAGACACGGUCCAGACUCCUACGGGAGGCAGCAGUAGGGAAUCUUCCGCAAUGGGCGAAAGCCUGACGGAGCAACGCCGCGUGAGUGAUGAAGGUCUUCGGAUCGUAAUACUCUGUUAUUAGGGAAGAACAUAUGUGUAAGUAACUGUGCACAUCUUGACGGUACCUAAUCAGAAAGCCACGGCUAACUACGUG